CUGCAAGACGGGGGCUGAACUUGAAGUGGGCGUAACUUGAAGUAGGAGGCGUAACUUGAAGUUGUCCAAAUCACACAGAACCACGCGAGAUCUCAAAACGAUAAGUUGUUGGCAAUAUGGCGGCUUUAAUUAGGACACAGAGUAGAAUAUUGAUUACGUUUUAAGGGAGGCAGGGGUUUUAGGUUUUUAUGUGUGUGUAGAUAUUAAUGUUAGGGGACAAUGUGAGAGAUGUGUACGUUUUAGUAAGAAAACGUAUUAUCUGAUCCACACUCCGGAACAGAAGAGGGCGGUAAUGCACCAAUAAACUGGAUGCCAACCGCCGUUAAACUGGAAAGAAGACGAAUAUGACAGCUUGCUGUGAGAGUGAGAGACAACGGGACAGAUGAGACACACGUGUGUUUAUCUGCUGUAGAGUAACUGAAGAAGGAAUGCUACCAUCAAAGGAUUUGUAUCUUUUGUGGUGGAGCAGGACCUGCAAGGAAAGGUGAAAAA